rnacentral:rRNA from 1 species
ACUCAAAUGAAUUGACGGGGAUCAGCACAAGCGGUGGAUUAUGUUCUUUAAUUCGAUGAUAACCGAUGAACCUUACCAGGGUUUGACAUCCAGGAAAGCACUGUGAAAGCAGAGUGUGCCUUUUGGAAUCCUGUGACAGGUGUUGCAUGGCCGUCGUCAGCUCGUGUCGUGAGAUGUUUGGUUAAGUCCAUCAACGAGCGCAACCCUUGUGAAUAGUUGUAUUUUUCUAUUCAGACUGCUCUAGUAAUAGGGAGGAAGGAGGGGAUGAUGUCAGGUCAGUAUUACCCUUACACCCUGGGCUAGAAACAUAAUACAAUGGCCGGUACAAUGCGCAGCGAAGCAGCAAUGUGGAGCAAAUCGCAUCAAAGCCGGUCCCAGUUCGGAUAAGAGGCUGAAACUCGCCUCUUUGAAGCCGGAAUCGCUAGUAAUCGCAAAUCAGCAAGUUGCGGUGAAUACGUCACUGAUCUUGUACACACCGCCCGU